AACGAACGCUGGCGGCAUGCCUAACACAUGCAAGUCGAACGAAGGCUUCGGCCUUAGUGGCGCACGGGUGCGUAACGCGUGGGAAUCUGCCCUUUGGUUCGGAAUAACAGCUGUAAACGGCUGCUAAUAUCGGGUGAUUACGAAAGUCCAAAGAUUGAUCGACAGAGGAUGAGCCCGCGUUGGUUUAGGUAGUUGGUGGGGUAAGGGCCUACCAAGCCUACGAUCCAUAGCUGGUCUGAGAGAAAGAUCCGCCACACUGGGACUGAGACGCAGCCGAGAAUCCUGCGGGAGGGAGCAGAGGGGAAUAUUGGAAUACCGGCGCAAUGCUGAACCAGCAAUGCCGGGUGAGUGAUGAAGGCGCUAGGGUUAUAAAGCUCUUUUACACGGGAAGAUAAUGACUGUACCGGGAGAAUAAGCCCCGGCUAACUCCGUG
rnacentral:rRNA from 1 species